GAUGAACGCUGGCGGCGUGCCUAAUACAUGCAAGUCGAACGAAGAUCUAGCUUGCUAGAUCUUAGUGGCGAACGGGUGAGUAAUACAUAAAUAAUCUGCCCAUAUGACUGGGAUAACUAUUGGAAACGAUAGCUAAUACCGGAUAGGUUAAUCGGAGGCAUCUCUGAUGAAUUAAAGUAGGAUUUCUACACAAAUGGAUGAGUUUAUGGCGCAUUAGUUAGUUGGUGGGGUAACGGCCUACCAAGACGAUGAUGCGUAGCCGACCUGAGAGGGUGACCGGCCACACUGGGACUGAGACACGGCCCAGGCUCCUACGGGAGGCAGCAGUAGGGAAUUUUCGGCAAUGGGCGCAAGCCUGACCGAGCAACGCCGCGUGAGUGAUUAAGGCCUUCGGGUUGUAAAGCUCUGUUGUAAGGGAAGAACAUUCAGGAUAGGAAAUGAUCUUGAACUGACGGUACCUUACCAGAAAGCCACGGCUAACUACGUGCCAGCCGCCGCAGUAA
rnacentral:rRNA from 1 species